rnacentral:lncRNA from 1 species
CUUCUUAAAGAUCUUGUUAACGAGUAGUUGAUAAGUUGCCCCCUUAUUCUAAAGGCUGAAUGGCAUGAACCUAUAGCAAAAAAGACCUCGAUCAAUAACAAAAGAGAUUUUCUCCUCAUCCUUAGAGGCCUUUCGGACUUGAUUAGAUCCAAUGAAUGCAUUCAUAAAUGAUAGGAGGUGAUGUCCUGAAGUCACAUCCAUCAGCUAAUC